AGUGUAGGUGGCCAGGCAAGUCAGAAGUGAAAGCCCGGGGCUCAACCCCGGGACUGCUUUUGAAACUGCAGGGCUAGAGUGCAGGAGGGGCAAGUGGAAUUCCUAGUGUAGCGGUGAAAUGCGUAGAUAUUAGGAGGAACACCAGUGGCGAAGGCGGCUUGCUGGACUGUAACUGACACUGAGGCACGAAAGCGUGGGGAGCAAACA
rnacentral:rRNA from 1 species